CAAAAACAUAGCUAUGCGUAAUACUACGGAUAGUGCUUUCUGCUCACGGAGAUUUUAAACAGCCGCAGUACCCUGACUGUGCAAAGGUAGCGUAAUCAGUUGUCUUUUAAUUAAAGUCUUGUAUCAACGAACAUAUGGGGGCCCACUAUACCAGUAAUCUUAUUCGAAUUUACUUAAGGGGUGAAAAUACCCUUAGAACUUAAUAGACGAGAAGACCCUAGAAAUUUUCACAGAGAUCUGUUUUUGUUGGGGCAACAUAGUAACAUGAAACUUACUCUAUAGACACGAAAAGUUUUAGGAAGAUAAAAUUACUCUAGGGAUAACAGCAUAAUGUUAAAUCGUUUGUGACCUCGAUGUUGGAUUAGGGAGUUAUAGCCUAAAAGGUCUUUAACCAUGCUCUGUUCGAGC
rnacentral:rRNA from 1 species